rnacentral:rRNA from 1 species
UAAUAGCUCACUGGUCGAGUCGGUUUGCGCGGAAGAUUUAACGGGGCUAAACUAUAUACCGAAGCUGCGGAUCGCAAUUUAUUGCGAUGGUAGGAGAGCGUUCUGUAAGCCGUUGAAGGUGAACUGUGAGGUUUGCUGGAGGUAUCAGAAGUGCGAAUGCUGACAUGAGUAACGAUAAAGGGGGUGAAAAACCCCCUCGCCAGAAGUCCAAGGUUUCCUACGCAACGUUAAUCGGCGUAGGGUUAGUCGGCCCCUAAGGCGAGGCAGAAAUGCGUAGUCGAUGGGAAACGGGUUAAUAUUCCCGUACUUCAUAUAACUGCGAUGGGAAGACGGAGUAGGUUAGCUCAGCAAGGCGAUGGUUGUCCUUGUUCAAGCGUGUAGAAAUGGUUCUUAGGAAAAUCCGGGAACCUCUAUUUCAAGGCGUGAUAACGAGCCCUCUUUUGGGCGAAGUGAGUGAGACCAUGCUUCCAGGAAAAUCCUCUAAGCUUCAGGUUAUAUGAAACCGUACCCCAAACCGACACAGGUGGACGAGAUGAGAAUUCUAAGGCGCUUGAGAGAACUCGGGUGAAGGAACUAGGCAAAAUGACACCGUAACUUCGGGAGAAGGUGUGCUCUUGUUAUGUGAUAUCACUUGCUGAUUGAGCAAAGAAGAGCUGAAAAAACUAGGUGGCUGCGACUGUUUAUUAAAAACACAGCACUCUGCAAACACGUAAGUGGACGUAUAGGGUGUGACUCCUGCCCGGUGCUUGAAGGUUAAUUGAUGAGGUUAGCGCUUGCGCGAAGCUUUUGAUCGAAGCCCAAGUAAACGGCGGCCGUAACUAUAACGGUCCUAAGGUAGCGAAAUUCCUUGUCGGGUAAGUUCCGACCUGCACGAAUGGAGUAACGACGGCCACACUGUCUCCACCCGAGACUCAGUGAAAUUGAAAUUGCUGUUAAGAUGCAGUAUACCCGCGGCCAGACGGAAAGACCCCGUGCACCUUUACUACAGCUUUGCAUUGAACUCUGAUCCUACUUGUGUAGGAUAGGUGGGAGGCUUUGAAGCUUUAACGCUAGUUAGAGUGGAGCCACCCUUGAAAUACCACCCUGGUAUGGUUGGGGUUCUAACCUUGGUCCGUAAUCCGGAUCGGGGACAAUGCAUGGUGGGUAGUUUGACUGGGGCGGUCUCCUCCUAAAGAGUAACGGAGGAGCGCAAAGGUAUCCUCAGCACGGUCGGACAUCGUGCAAUGAGCGCAAAGGUAAAAGGAUGCUUGACUGCGAGACUGACACGUCGAGCAGGUAGGAAACUAGGUCUUAGUGAUCCGGUGGUUCUGAGUGGAAGGACCAUCGCUCAACGGAUAAAAGGUACGCCGGGGAUAACAGGCUGAUACCCCCCAAGAGUUCACAUCGACGGGGGUGUUUGGCACCUCGAUGUCGGCUCAUCACAUCCUGGGGCUGAAGCAGGUCCCAAGGGUAUGGCUGUUCGCCAUUUAAAGUGGUACGCGAGCUGGGUUUAGAACGUCGUGAGACAGUUCGGUCCCUAUCUACCGUGGGCGUUGGAGACUUGAGGGAAGCUGUUCUUAGUACGAGAGGACCGGAAUGGACACACCUCUGGUGUUUCGGUUGUCACGCCAGUGGCAUUGCCGAGUAGCUAUGUGUGGAAAGGAUAACCGCUGAAAGCAUCUAAGCGGGAAGCCCCUCCCAAGAUUAGGUCUCCCUGAUUAUUUAAUAAUCCUAAAGAUCCCUCGAAGACUACGAGGUUGAUAGGCUAGGUGUGAAAGUGCAGCAAUGUAUUGAGCUAACUAGUACUAAUUGAUCGUGAGGCUUGACCAU